ensembl:lncRNA
UUGUCAUGGAGAUAAUUUCCGCUCGCAAUUUGCCGCCCAGCAGGGCAUUCUGGGAUUACGGGGUCCCCCAAACUGUCAUGGCGUCCUAGGAAGAUGGCGACUGCCAUACAACAGGCUUUCCUGGAGUAUCUAAUAAUUUAAAUUCAAGGCAUUGGCGACAUAGCUAGUGACAGAGGGCCAAGAGAACGGUGGACUGACUGCCAGGGGCCAGCGAUUUUUAGGCCAUCAAUCACCCCCACAGAGCUGAUAAAAUGGAGUGUGCAGUUGACACACAGCCAGACAAAGACCAGCUCCUGGAGAUAGCGAAGGCCAAUGCAGCAGCCAUGUGUGCUAAAGCAGGUGUGCCCAUCCCAGAGAGUCUGAGACCCAAGGCCAUCCUCCAGCUGCCCCUGCCCAACCCAGCCCCAACUCCCCUGAAUCUGCCUCUUCCCCUGCCGUUGCCUCUUAACAUGCCCGGCAUGGGCAUGCCCAAUAUGCCCAACAUGAACAUGCACAUGCCCAACAUGCACAUGCCCAACAUGCACAUGUCCAACAUGCCCAACAUGCACAUGCCCAACAUGCACAUGCCCAACAUGAACAUGCCCAACAUGAACAUGCCCAACAUGAACAUGCCCAACAUGAAUAUGAGUAUGCCCAAUAUGAAUAUGCCUAAUAUGGGCAAUAUGUCCAAUAUGGCCAUGAGUGCUGCCAUGGCCAGUAUGACAGCUGCCACCAUGACUGCAGCCCUCACCAACAUGGCCCAGAUGUCAAACAUGCCCCAGAUGGCCCCCCUCCCCACUAUCACCAACAAAGCCCAGAUGGCCCCCCUCCCCACCAUCACCAACAAGCCCCCUCCUAGCCAGGUUCCCCAAACAACCCUUCCCCCCCUUAACCUGGACCACAUAGAGGAGGUGAAGAGGAAGGUGACUCAGCAGGCCAACAUAUACAGCAUCAAGGAGCUCACUGAGAAAUGUAAGAUGAUAGCGGCAAGUAAAGAGGAGAUGGCCAUAGCGAAGCCACACGUGUCUGAUGACGAAGAUGAGGACAGGAAGCCACGCGGCAAGAGCUUCCUCAGUUAACUUUUAUUUGGGGCGGAUCACAUGAGGCGAAAGGCUCCCCAUGGAAACAUCACCGGGCGGACAGAAGUGCGGGUUGUUGUGGUUACAGAGAAGGAACAGUGUCAGAUACUGCCAGCCCCUUUUCCCUGGACAAUCAUUCCCUCCCCCAGCCCCUCCCAUCAUGCUCUAGUUGUCUGGGUUUCCACAUGCUUCCAAAGCCACGGUUGGAUUCCAAAGCUACAAAGUAAAAAUUGGCUACAAAAAUUAGCUUUUUGGUCUUCAUUUAGGAUUAGGCAUAAAGUUAGGAGUAUGUUUCAAAUCAAAUUUGAAGAAGAAAUUGUACAAAUGCGUGGGGUUUAGCCAUAAUUAUGACUUCGUGGCUAUGGAAGCUAGUGACGACCCAUUGGACAGAUUGGAGUGUACAGUGUGGUUACUCCUAGCUUCUACACAUUGGUCAGACAGCUGUCUGGACAAUGACUGAAGAUAAAUGAAAGAAGGAACACACUUUCAAAUUUUGUCGACUCUUUCUAAUGUUAAACUUUUUGUGUUUAGUUUUUGUGUUAAGUGAUUAAAUUACCAGCUCACGGUUCCUUUAGUGACAUUUUAACCUGUGAGUGAACUGCUAGGACUGCCCUCGGUGCGCGCACCCACAGAUGUCAUUAAUAUGAUGGUCAGCUGUUUUUGUAGUGAUGGGCAGACUGACCAGGUGUCUCCAUUGAGAAGACAAACUGAUCAGGGCUUUGGAGGAUCCACUCUUAAUGUUUUGUCACUUCUAGUAUUUCUCUGGUGUUUUUCUGUUAAAUACCUGAUGUAAUCUUUAGCUAUUUUAAUGACUUAAAAUACAUUUUAGGAUUUCCUUGGUCAGUAGGGUAUUAUUUGGCUGGCUUUGUACAUAAUGUAUUGAUGAUUAUUAAAGGAAACCAGAAAAUUACCUUUCUUGUGUUCUUUAUGUAGGAGCUAUUAAGGUCAGAAGUACUGAUGUAUAUUAUUUCAUUCUAAUCGGAGAUUGGUUCAGACCUGGGACACCAGGUGAGACUUCUCUCUGACCUCUUACAGAUACAUGACUAACUAUGACUAACUAUGGUCCACUCACACAGACAGCAUUGUGAAGAAGGCGCAGCAGCGCCUCUUCAACCUCAGGAGGCUGAAGAAAUUCGGCUUGUCACCAAAAGCACUCACAAACUUCUACAGAUGCACAAUCGAGAGCAUCCUGGCGGGCUGUAUCACCGCCUGGUACGGCAACUGCUCCGCCCUCAACCGUAAGGCUCUCCAGAGGGUAGUGAGGUCUGCACAACGCAUCACUGGGGGCAAACUACCUGCCCUCCAGGACACCUACACCACCCGAUGUUACAGGAAGGCCAUAAAGAUCAUCAAGGACAUCAACCACCCGAGCCACUGCCUGUUCACCCCGCUAUCAUCCAGAAGGCGAGGUCAGUACAGGUGCAUCAAAGCUGGGACCGAGAGACUGAAAAACAGCUUCUAUCUCAAGGCCAUCAGACUGUUAAACAGCCACCACUAACAUUGAGUGGCUGCUGCCAACACACUGACACUGACUCAACUCCAGCCACUUUAAUAAUGGGAAUUGAUGGGAAAUGAUGUAAAUAUAUCACUAGCCACUUUAAACAAUGCUACCUUAUAUAAUGUUUACAUACCCUACAUUAUUCAUCUCAUAUGCAUACGUAUAUACUGUACUCUAUAUCAUCGACUGCAUCCUUAUGUAAUACAUGUAUCACUAGCCACUAACUAUGCCACUUUGUUUACAUACUCAUCUCAUAUGUAUAUACUGUACUCGAUAUCAGCUACUGUAUCUUGCCUAUGCUGCUCUGUACCAUCACUCAUUCAUAUAUCCUUAUGUACAUAUUCUUUAUCCCCUUACACUGUGUAUAAGACCGUAGUUUUGGAAUUGUUAGUUAGAUUACUUGUUGGUUAUUACUGCAUUGUCGGAACUAGAAGCACAAGCAUUUCGCUACACUCGCAUUAACAUCUGCUAACCAUGUGUAUGUGACAAAUAAAAUUUGAUUUGAUUUGACUAAGUUUUUAAGCCCCC